rnacentral:lncRNA from 1 species
GUAACGCGAACUACAGUAUAAGAGAAAAGAAAGUAACAGCUGAAAUAAAAAUCUACAGCUAUUAUGAAGCGCAUGACAUUUUAGUCCUCGAACUGUAAUGCAUUGCAGUUUCUAGCUCAAACUAUGAGACACGUGACAUUUUAGUUCUCAAACUUUAGUUAGUUGUAAUUUCUGACUUAAAAUAUAAGGCAUCCGAAACACGUGAUUUUGUCUUUUAUUCUUUUUAGUUUUCUUAUACUUCCAUUCUUAUAUAUAUUUGUACUGCAGCAGCAACUGCUUCUUCUUCAGCUUUUUUUACUUUUAUAUUUUUAGUAAUCUUUGACCUUUUCUUUUAUUUUUCUUAUACUUUUACUAUUUCUUUUUAUUUAUUUAUUUUUGUGAAAUGGACUUACGAUCUAC